rnacentral:tRNA from 2 species
AAGGAUUUAAGUUAAUAAAACUAUUAACCUUCAAAGUUAAAAUUGGGUAAACCCAAGCCUUA